rnacentral:rRNA from 1 species
UACGUAGGGGGGCUAGCGUUGUCCGGAUUUAUUGGGCGUAAAGAGCGUGUAGGCGGCCAUGUAGGUCCGGUGUGAAAACUCGAGGCUUAACCUCGAGCUGUCGGCGGAAACCAUCUGGCUAGAGUCCGGAAGAGGAGAAUGGAAUUCCCGGUGUAGCGGUGAAAUGCGCAGAUAUCGGGAAGAACACCCGUGGCGAAGGCGGUUCUCUGGGACGGUACUGACGCUGAGACGCGAAAGCGUGGGGAGCGAACAGG